AUACGUAGGGAGCGAGCGUUGUCCGGAAUUACUGGGCGUAAAGGGCGCGUAGGCGGCGCUUCAAGUCGUCUGUCAAAUGGGAGGGCUUAACCCUUUUUCGCAGACGAAACUGGAGAGCUUGAGAAGCAGAGAGGCCAACAGAAUUCCUGGUGUAGCGGUGAAAUGCGUAGAUAUCAGGAAGAAUACCAGUGGCGAAGGCGGUUGGCUGGCGGUAUACUGACGCUGAAGCGCGAAAGCCAGGGGAGCGAACGGGAUUAGAUACCCCGGUAGUCCUGGCAGUAAACGAUGUAUGCUGGGUGUGAGACUAGCGAUAGUUUCGUGCCGAAGUUAACGCGAUAAGCAUACCGCCUGGGGAGUACGGUCGCAAGAUUGAAACUCAAAGGAAUUGACGGGG
rnacentral:rRNA from 1 species